UUUGUCUCUCUCUCCUUCCGUUGGCUUCGCGCUUCGUCUUCUUCCGUCAUCCAUCGCUGUUUCAGCUUUGAAUCAGUGGAGACAAUAGCGAAGAAGAAGGUGGAGGAUGUUACGCCCAUUGCAACCGGACACGAGAAGGAGGAGCUUGAAGCUGAACUUGAGGGGAGGAGGCUGCUUAACAUUGACUUUCCUGAAGGUCCCUUCAGAACAAGGAGCAGCUAGAAUUGGUGCGGGAGGAGAUUCGUGUUUGGUCUCUGUUCAACCAUACUAAUCUGCUUCCUCUUCUUGACCAUGCCAUUAUUUCUGUUAAGGUAAGUGUAAGCAUACGACUCUGAAACUUACAUGGCUGAUGUUUUUUUUUAAAUGUUUUUGCUUGUUUUUUUUUCUUGGGGGUGUUCACUUUGGCUCUGGCUUUUGUCGUUGGAUUGACAUGUGCCUUCACCAAUGGGAAAGUGAUUCUAGAGUCAGCGAUCUUGACAACGGUUGUGGUGCUUUCCCUCACCGUGUACACCUUCUAGGCUGCUAAGAGAGGAUAUGACUUCAACUUCCUCGGACCAUUCUUGUUCGGUGCUCUCAUCGUGCUCAUUGUCUUUGCCAUGAUACAAGUAAUGCCACUUAUUCCAAACUCUAUGCCAUAAGAAUUACAGAGAGUGAGAGAGUUUUAAUCUUAGCUAGUGAAAUGUAGUAGCGUUUUGGUUGUAUUUUCAGCUACAAGUAAGAAACUUGCACCUAGUGCAACUAAUCGGUUUUCAUCAAUAAUUGAAAAAAAAAUUUAAGAA